rnacentral:rRNA from 1 species
UGGGGAAUCUUGCGCAAUGGUCUAACGACUGACGCAGCGACGCCGCGUGUGGGAGGACGCCUUUCGGGGUGUAAACCACUGUUGCCCGGGACGAACAGCCUCUUUCGAGGGGCCUGACGGUACCGGGUGACGAAGCACCGGCUAACUCCGUGCCAGCAGCCGCGGUAAUACGGAGGGUGCGCGCGUUGUCCGGAAUCAUUGGGCGUAAAGGGCGCGUAGGUGGCUUCUUAAGCGUGCGGUGAAAGCCUGGGGCUCAACCCCGGGUCGGCCGUGCGAACUGGGGGGCUUGAGCACUGUAGAGGCAGGCGGAAUUCCGGGUGUAGCGGUGGAAUGCGUAGAGAUCCGGAAGAACACCGGUGGCGAAGGCGGCCUGCUGGGCAGUUUGGCUGACACUGAGGCGCGAAAGCGUGGGGAGCAAAC